GACGAACGCUGGCGGCGUGCUUAACACAUGCAAGUCGAACGGCAAGGCCCUGCUUUUUUGGGGUGCUCGGUUGGCGAACGGGUGAGUAACACGUGAGUAACCUGCCCUUGACUUUGGUAUAACUUCAGGAAACUGGGGCUACUACCGGAUAGGAGCUCCCGCUCCAUUGUGGGGGUUGGAACGUCUCGGCGGUUGGGGAUGGACGCGCGGCUUAUCAGCUUGUUGGUUGGGUAGUGGCUUACCCAGGCUUUGACGGGUAGCCGGCCUGUGAGGGUGACCGGCCACAAUGGGACUGAGAGACGGACCAGACUCCUACGGGAGGCAGCAGUGGGGAAUAUUGCACAAUGAGCGGAAGCCUGAUGCAGAAACGCCGCGUGCGGGAAGACGGCCUGCGGGUAGAGAAACGCUUUCGGCUGUGACGAAGCGUGAGUGACGGUAAUGGGUAAAGAAGCACCGGCUAACUACGUG
rnacentral:rRNA from 1 species